CAAAUUUGCGUUACCCCAUCAGUUGUCUAGUGUCCUCGGAAAUAGCUUAACUAACUGGUGGCACGUGUUAUCAUACUAAAUGUUCCGUCUUGUUGUAUAAUAAUAGUCUAUAAAUCCAUUGUCCCGAACACGUAAAUUAACUGAUAUCAGUGAAACGAUGACGGAUAUAAUUUAUUAAAAAUAACCAUUUUUCAUCUCCACGAUAAUGACUUUUUUAUAUCUUCUACGAUAUUUUAAUGUUCGCU